AUAUGCCACUCCAUACAUGGAACUGAUUUAAAAAAAAAUUUUUUUCAGCUAACAUAUCCGUGAUGGGUUCCUAAAGCCAUUUUUCGUCAAAAUCAAUCGUUUGAAAGUUAGACGCUUCCAAAGUGGAAAAAU